UUCCCUUCCUUCCUGCUUUCUUUUUCCUCCCAUUCCUUCUUUCUGUAUUUUAUCCAGUAAGAUUAUAUUCACCAAAAUACGUGUUCUCUCUCCCAGAUAUGGUGGCUGUGUUGCAGCAGGAGAUGCUCUUGAGAGUUAGUAGGCUGGGGGUUUAUUCGCCCCACAAAUAUUGAUUGAGCUCCCUUGCCUUGAACGGUGAUUGGAGAAGAAGGCAGAGGGCAAGGAAAAUGAAGAACCCAUCAAGAGAUUCCAGCAUUAUAAAUGAAGUUCUUCUGGAAGAAAUGAAUCAAUCAAGAUGGUGGUUCUGUCUCUAAAAGUCAAGAUCUCAUCAGAUUUAGAUUUGUAAAAUUAGGUUUCUAAAAACUCCAGAUGGGCGCUUUAGUUCCAGCCUCCUCUUCGCGAGUCUUUGUCGUGCCAAUCACCGUGGGGAUGACAUGCAGAUAAAGAUAAGGUUCUCCUCCUUGAAGAGUUUACUAUCUAGCAAGGGUAUAUAAGCCAAUUUUACUAUGAUCUCUGAAUGGAGUUAUUCUUAUGCUGUGAGCGUAUACUAACAGGAUAGCCAAAUAAAGCAACUCACUUGCAGCUCUCUUUGCUCCCAUCUGGUGAGAAAUGAGGAAGUCUUCUUGUUGAUUUUCCUGAAGCAUCUCCCCUGUUGUGCUCUUCCUUGAUAACAUGCUGCUCUGGAUGUUUUUAUGAUCAGAAUAUUGGAUGGACACAGACCUAAUGAGGUAGGUGGCUGACCUUAGGUUCACAUCCUGCCAGAUCUAAGGUAAGUUUUGUGUCCUUCUUUGGACACUUCAUGGAUUUGUUGAGCAGGCAACAUAGACCCUCCAAGAACACAUUUAUAGCCACCAUUGCAUUGACUGGGAAAGCAAAGCAGCAACAGCCAAUGGCCAUCAUAUGCUAAUCUAAACUUUUUGAACAUAACACUGUGUUUCUUCAUCCAGAACUCAGGGUAUUUGAUUGGUACUCAGAGCAUUCAUUCAUUUAUACAUUUAUCAAAUACCGAUUGAGCAUCUCCAUGUGCCAGGUUCUGCGGACAGAUAAUGAAAAAGGCAUAAUGACAUCCUAAGGUAGCUUUCAGUAGAUGGAGGAGGC
rnacentral:lncRNA from 1 species